CAUGUCAAUGCGCGGGCCGUCCAGAGGGUCUUGAGCGGGUUCAUGCCAGGUUCAUGCGUCCUUAUACUUGCAAUUUAUAGAGCAAUCCAUUGGCAUCGUGCAUUGACGCAUUAUAGUUUCCUAGACAACAACCUGUUUCAAGUGCAACAGUUGCUGCGUUCUAUUCGAUCCACAAUGACGGGCGUGAAGUGCGCCAUCAAGAGCUGCCGACGUUGCGCCAGUUGCGCGUCCGAUAUCGGUGUUUCAUUUCACUCGGCGCCUCUGAACCCCGUCCGGAGAAAACAAUGGAACGGUGCUGUUGGUUUCACCCUACCGAUAAAUGGACGCGUCUGCUCCGACCAUUUUCUAGUUUCAGAUUAUCUGCCGUUCUUAUAUGCAAAGAGGCCGCGGGUUCGGCGUCGUCUGAAGAGCAGUGCCGUUCCGUCUGUCGGCCUGGACAAGAGCGGAGACACGCUCCAAGGCAGUCAUGAGGCAGCACCAUCCAUCCCGAGCUGUGAAGUACUGUGCAGGGAGGCCCCACACCGUGGUGCGAUGGUGCACUACAUUAGAACCGCUGAAGUGGUGACGAAAACGGAGGGCGACACAUUUCGUACCGCUCCUUGUGAUCUGGUGCUGAGAGACCCACAUGAAGAACACACUUAUGCAUAUAGGUGGCAUGCUCCAAGAUAUGCCUCUGCAAGUACCCAGGCCGAUUUGAUUGCCUCAACUGAAAAAAGGGACUUUGGCAUCCAAACACAGCUUAAGGGUCGCAGCAAAUCCACUCAGUGCCUGCGUGUCCAGUGUCGCUCGGUAGCACUCCAAACCGAAACAUUAGCACUCGAAACCGAAACAAGAACCACGAAGAACUGAUAUGUGCGAAACUUUGGACGACCUUACGGAAGCCAGGCCAUGUUGCAGACGUGAAUGACUGCAGCUGGUGCCAUUCAACAUCAGACAACAGCAUGAAACUGUUCUGCUGCAACGUGCCUUCACGUUUCAACACUUCUUCAUCACGGGAAGUUCUGGUCUGAUGUAGCAGAGUGUGCAUCCGGCGUUGGUGUCAUCUGAAUCGGCGCCCUGAAAUUCGAAGACGAAUAUAUCAAACUACGUGCGAUUUCUUGUAUUUUGAAGACGUGGGUAUGACAUAAAUUGCGAUACCCUCCAACCUUCCAACAUAAGCAACUGUUCUCAAGUUGAUAAUAAAAAAAAGUUCAUUAAGUUUUUGUUAUCAGUGUUUUCAAACCGACUUAAGCAUUGGCAAAGGAUUUCCGCCUCAAUGCAUGAUGUGUGAAGGCGGCAGGCUCGUUACUGUCGUAGAAUUUUUUGUAACAAAUAAGCAUUGUCUAAAAAAAAAACUGUAUUGCACGGCUUUCUGUGUACUGCCGGUGAUCUUUAAAAUUGCACUGACACUGCUACUGAAUGCGAUUUCUUUCUUUUCCCACUCUCGAACUCUUUGUUUCUCCAUCUUUCUGUUGCAAGUCUUGCGGCCUGCGAAGAAACACGGCCUAUCUUAUCUACAGAGAGUGCCGUAGUACUGCUGCUGGCGGGACGGUUACCCCAUGCAGCGAUAAGACCUACGCGGGACAGGUUUGGCAUUCUGGAGAAGAGUCCACGCACGGCACUGAUCCAACAACACAACUGCGCGACUUGCCUGUGGAGAACGCUGAACUGGAGCAUGCUGGCGACCCAUAUGACCUUUGAGACACGCUUGUUGUGAAUGUGGCACCUCUGGCUGCAAAACGUUGACCACCAGCGAAGAGAUCAGCACGGAAGAACAGGGCCAUGCCGGCCUACACCCAUGGCUGGCUCCAUACCGUGGUGCAAUGGUGCACUACAUUACACCCGCUGAAGUGGGGACAGAAAUGGAGGGUGACACAUUCCAUGCCGCUCCUCUUGAUCCAGUGCUGGGAGAGCCACAUGAAGAACAUUCUUAUGCAUAUAGAUGGCGUGCUCCAAGAUAUGCCUCUGCAAGUACCCAGACCAAUUUGCUUGCCUCACCCGAAAAAAAGGACUUUGGCAUUCAAACACGGCUUGUUAUGUGUCAGAGCAAAUCCACUCAGUGCCAGUGCAUCUAGUGUUGCUCGUUAGCACUUCCACACCAAAAUGAGAACGGAGGAGCACUACAUGAGAGAUUGUGGAUGACCCCGGGGAAGCUAGGCCAUAUUUCAGAUGUGAAUGACUACAGCUAGUGCCAAUCAGCAUCACAGAGCAGCAUGAAGCUGUUCUGCUGCAACAGGCCUUCAUUCAAGUUUCAUCACUUCUUCGUCACAGGAAAUUCUGGUCUGACUAAGUGAUCACCUUUUCUUCACAUCCGGCGAGCCCAGCUUCGAUGUCACUUGAAUCAACGCCUUGAAAUUGAAUGAUAAAUAUGUAAAAUUACGUGCACUCUUUUAUAUAGAAGAAAUAAAUUUGGCAUAAAUUGUGACA